ACGGGAGGCAGCAGUGGGGAAUAUUGGACAAUGGGCGAAAGCCUGAUCCAGCGACGCCGCGUGAACGAUGAAGUAUUUCGGUAUGUAAAGUUCUAUCAGCAGGGAAGAUAAUGACGGUACCUGACUAAGAAGCACCGGCUAAAUACGUGCCAGCAGCCGCGGUAAUACGUAUGGUGCAAGCGUUAUCCGGAUUUACUGGGUGUAAAGGGAGCGUAGACGGUAAGGCAAGUCUGAAGUGAAAUGCCAGGGCUCAACCCUGGAACUGCUUUGGAAACUGUCCUACUAGAGUGCAGGAGAGGUAAGUGGAAUUCCUAGUGUAGCGGUGAAAUGCGUAGAUAUUAGGAGGAACACCAGUGGCGAAGGCGGCUUACUGGACUGUAACUGACGUUGAGGCUCGAAAGCGUGGGGAGCAAACAGGAUUAGAUACCCUGGUA
rnacentral:rRNA from 1 species